GGUUUAUCUAGAUAGAUCUAUGCAUAAUUCCAACCACCCCAACAUCACAAUCUCCUCAGUUUCAGUUUCUUUCCCAUCUCCUCCUCUCGGCCUUCUUUCCCCCUAAACCUUGUGAGCACUUUGUCUCUCUUCCCCUCCCCCCCCUGACACUAAAAAAAAAGAAGAAAAAGAAACAAAAAAACAAAAAACAAACAACUUGAAGAUGAGCGCUCCCAAAUACGCUUAUCCCUACCCUGCUCAAGGUUACUAUCAAGGCCCACCUGUGAUGGCUCCGCCGCAAUACGCAGCUCCACCGCCGAGGAGGAACGCCGGGUUUCUUGAAGGAUGCCUCGCUGCUCUCUGCUGCUGCUGCCUUCUUGAUGAGUGCUGCUGCGAUCCGACAGUCAUAUUUCUAAACUGAUGGAGGCUGAAGAAGAAAUUACUGAAGCCUCUGUAGUAUAAGCUAAUAUGUGAUCUUUAAAUUAUGUGGCUUUUCCCCCUUUUUAAGUUUUCCUUUUUUAUGUAUGUAUGAUUAUGGUUCUGAAUAUUAUUAAGUCGGAUCUUUUAGUUGAAGUGAUUCUCUUCUGUAUAAUAGCUCGGUGGUGAGUGGUGUAACCUGCCUUAAUUUUGAUCGACUUUGAUAUCCGAUUGCUUGUUAAUUUAUAUAUUGUAAUUUAUACUAUGGUUGUUUCUGUACGUAUUGUUGCGUUAAGUAUAUUAUAAUGAAUCGGUUAUGAUA